rnacentral:rRNA from 1 species
UACGGAGGGCGCAAGCGUUGUUCGGAAUUACUGGGCGUAAAGCGUGCGCAGGCGGUUUUGCAAGACAGGUGUGAAAUCCCCGGGCUUAACCUGGGAACUGCACUUGUGACUGCACGGCUGGAGUACGGCAGAGGGGGAUGGAAUUCCGCGUGUAGCAGUGAAAUGCGUAGAUAUGCGGAGGAACACCGAUGGCGAAGGCAGUCCCCUGGGCCUGUACUGACGCUCAUGCACGAAAGCCAGGGGAGCAAACGGG